AGUCCAGCGCCUGCAGCGCGUUCCCGGCGAGUCGGAGGCCGGGUGGGGCCCCUGCGUGGGAAGCAGCCGAGGCUGAGGCCGGUCCCUUCGCCGCGGGCUCUGCGGGCGGCCGAGGCCCCCACCCGUCCCGGGAACAGGUAAAGUGAACAGAGUUAUCCGUGACAUUCCAUCAGGCAUCUACGUACGGAAAUCGUACUGUAAAAACUCGACAUGGCUUAUGGAUUGCCAAGAAAGAACACAGUGAAAACCAUUUUGCGGGGCUGUUGUUAUAAUGUACAGGAACCUUGGGAUCUUGCAGUGCUUACAAAGACCUGGUACAUGAACCUAGCCAAUAUCAACUUGCCUUUCUUGGAAGAAAUUUCAUUUGGUGGUUCUGUGCAGCUCACAAAAUGUAACCCUGUUAAAGAUGGACUGCUCCCUUCUGUAGAAUCCAUCAAACUUGAAAGGGAGUAUGAAGUGAAGCGUCUCUGUAAACUUAAAUGUCAAGAAAAUACAUCUGAGGAAAUUCAGCUUCUUCUAAGGGAAAGGCCAGCUGGUUUGAGAAGACCUCUUCCAUCUAAAUUACAGUCCGCUCAUGAUUGAAUCUGUACUCUGUCUCUUGCCUCCAAAGGGAUGAAGGUCUGUGGACCUUUCACUGUGUAGUUUGGGGCAGAUAUUUGAAUGCCCGCUGGCAAUGGGCCACCGCCCACAGCUGUGGGUUGGUGGCCAGCUCUGACAGAUCUUCUGAGUCCCUGACAUACUCUUGUUCCCUGUGUCACAAGUGACAGCACUGCUGGAGUGGAAGUUUCACUGCAACCUCUGCCUCCCAGGUGCAAGCAGUUCUCCUAUCUCAGUCUCCCAAGUGGCUGGGACUACAGGUGUGCACCCCCAUCCCCCCACUGGAUUAUUUUGAAGUAAAUUCUAGAUAGCAUAUUAGUAUAUCUGUAAUUAUAGAAAUGCAUAUUUUAUAAAUGUAGAUUUUUAAUUUUAUAAAAGUAUGGAUUAAUCAAAGCAUACCUGGGGGUCAUAAUCCUUGUAGGCUCAUAGUUUGACCUCAGUUUAGUGAGUUGUCUCUGGUGGUUGCUGCUUUAACAUAUUUAGAAGACAUUAUCUGAAUUACCCUGAUACUUUCUUCCAUCUGUGACAUAUGGCACAAAUGAAGAGCACUUUCUGUCAGGAGUUUUGAUGUGAGUGACUCAUUUGAUUUAGUGAUCCUCAGUCCUGGAAAAAGUUAUCGGGAAUCCAGGCUCUGUAUAUAGUCUUGGCUGCGUGACUUGAAAAGGUGGAACAUUCACAUUCCUUGUCCAAAUAUGCCUCAUAAAAUUUAAUGUGUUCUGUGUAAGACUCUAAUCUGCCAACCAGAAACACUCCCAGAGUUUCUUGGCUGAAAGUCUGGGAGUUGGAGCUUUCACCAAUUACCCAUUCUUUCUUUCCACUUCCUUUACACACCCGUCUUCUCCUAUUUGUUCUUUCUGACACUUUGACAAUUUUUUUCCUCCAUCUCAGCGAUUAUCAUAAAUAUUACAGCUGGGCUGUUAGCUGGGUAAAAUGUGGGAAAAGACCAUUUUAUGAUUAUACAGCCAAAGAUAGUCUUUAGCAGAAAUUUAGUGUGUUUUCAUUUCUUUGGAAAUCAAAACCAAUCCAGUUUUCUUUAAAAAAAUUAACAACCUCCAGCUGUAUCAACACAUGUUUUGGACUGUGACAAGAUUCAUGCUGUAUGUUUAUUUUUGUAGUUCAUAUCCCACUGAGUAGCCUUUCCUUCUAGGGUCACUGUCACUAAUCCAUCUAGUCCCAGGGAUAAUACUUCCAGUAGUUUGUUUGAAAAUGGUAAAUAUCUUAAAAUCUAAAGUCCACAAAUCUACCGCAUAAUGUAUCUGGUAUUGUUGCUGUUAGUUUUAAUUUCUUAAAAAUCAGAUUUAGGUAAGAUAGUAAUAAAGAGAAAACUCUAGGUUUUAGUUGAUCUGGGUUCUAGAUUCUUCCCUAUCCUAAUUAGUUAUAUAUCCAUGAGAAAAUCUUUUAAUUUCAGUGAAACUCAGCUUGUUUCUCUUUUUAAACAUUGCCAGUUAUAAAUGUAUUUUGUUUUAUAUUAUUAUUAUUUAUUAUUAUUUUUUAAAGAUGGGGUUUCACCAUGUUGGUCAGGCUGGUCUUGAACUCCCGACCUCAGGUGAUCAGCCUGCCUUGGCCUCUAAAGUAUAUUAUUUUUAUUUAUUCAUUUUUUUGAGACUGAAUCUCACUCUGUUGCCCAGGCUAGAGUGCAGUGGUGCAAUGUUGGCUCACUGCAACCUCUGCCUCCUGGGUUCAAGUGAUUCCCAUGCCUCAGCCUCCUGAAUAGCUGGGACUACAGGCGCAUGCCACCAUGCCCAGCUAAUUUUUGUAUUUUUAGUAGAGAUGGGGUUUUGCCAUGUUGGCAAGGCUGGCCUUGAAUUCCUGACCUCAGGUGAUCCACCUGCCUCAGCCUCCCAGAGUGCUGGGAUUACAGGCAUUGAGCCACUCUGGCUGGCUUCUAUAAAUGCAUUUUAAAUAAAAACAGUAGUUCCUGAGCUGGUUGUGGAACUACGAUAGGCUUAUGCCUAUAAUUCCAGCACUUUUGAAGAUGGAGGUAGGAAGAUCUCUUGAGGCCAAGAGUUUAAGACCAGUGUGAACCACAGAGUGAAACCCAUCUCUACAAAAACAAAAAAUAUAAAACAAAAACCCCAGCCAGAUAUGGUGACACAUGAGUGUAGUCCCAGCCACUUGGGAGGGUAAGGUGGGAGGAUUCCUUGAGUGCUCAGGAAUUUGAGGUUACAAUGAGCUAUUGCACCACUGCACUCCAGCCUAGGCAACAGAGCAAGACCCUGUCUUCAAAUAAAAUAAAAUAAAAUAAAAUAGGCCAGGCACGGUGGCUCAUGCCUGUAAUCCCAGCGCUUUGGGAGGCUGAGAUGGGUGGAUUGCUUGAGGUCGGGAGUUUGAGACCAUUCUGGCCAACAUGGUGAAACCCUCUCUCUUCUAAAAAUACAAAAAAAUUAGCUGGGUGUGGUGGUGUGUGCCUGUAAUCUCAGCUACUUGGGAGGCUGAGGCAGGGGAAUUGCUUGAACCAGGGAGGUAGAGGUUGCAGUGAGCUGAGAUCACACCACUGCACUCUAGCCUGGGCCACAGAGUAAAACUUCAUCUCAAAAAUAAAUAAAAAUUAAAUAAAAUCAUAGUUUUCUAUACCACCACCACUCAUUUCUACCUUGUAGAGUCAACUAAUUUCACCUCUUUUACCUAGUUUGUUAUUUACCUCCAUGACUCGAAAUAACACAUUGGUAUUACUAUUUCUUUUUUUUUUUUUAAUUUCUAGGCACAAUCUAUUGAAUUUCCAGUAUAGAUGAUAACAGUUACAUUUUCUUUCUUUUUUUUUUUCUUGUCUCACUUUGUUGCCCAGGCUGGCGUGCAAUGGCAUAUCUUGGCUCACUGCAACCUCUGCCUCCUGGGUUCAAGCGAUUUUUCUGCCUCAGCAUCCCUAGUAGCUGGGAUGACAGGCAUGUACCACCAUACCUGGAUAAUUUUUGUAUUUUUGUAGGGAUGGGGUUUCACCAUGUUGGCCAAGCUGGUCUUGAAUUCUUGAUCUCAAGUGAUCCAUCCGCCUCAGCCUCCCAAAGAGCUGGAAUUACAGGCAUGAGCCACCAGGCCUGGCCUAUUUUUUUCUUAACCUUACCACAGAGCCACAGAUGUAGAUGUAUUUCCUUUUUCCUCUAAAUAUAUCCUUAGGUUAUGUUAUAAUUUGUCUUAGAUCAGUAUUAAAUGUUAACAUUAUUGUGACUAUGUAUCUUAGUCCAUUUGGGCUGAUACAACAAAAUACUAUGAACUGGGUAGUUUAUACACAAUAGAAAUGUAUUUUUUACAGUUAUGAAAAUUGGAAAGUCCAAGAUCAAGGAGGCAGCAGAAGCCUGCUGAGGUCCUGUUCCUUAUAGAUAGCUCCUAUCCACGAAGAUAGGAACUCAUGUGAAGACACAGGUAGGGGGCUAUGUACUCAAGUUGGAAGGAACCAUUGCAUGGUGGAAGGGACUAGCUAGCUCCACAGAGCUGCUUUUAUAAGGUCAUUAAUCCCAUUCAUGAGGGCCCCACCUUUGUGACCUAAUCACCUUCCAAAAGGCUCUUAAUAUCAUUACCUUGGGAGUUAAGAUUUCAACAUAGAAUAUUUGGGGGACAUAAACAUUCAUACCACAGCAGUAUGUGAACAUUUCAGAACUGAACUAUGUAGUAAACUAUGAUUAAUUUUUCCUUCCUGUUACUUUCUUUUUGCAGGAUUUACAAAUUUAGUAAUUAGAUUUAGUUAUUGCUUAGUUUCCCAUGUAUUUGUCAUGAAGUAUUUAUUUGUUAACUCCAAGCUCCUUGCCAGUUGUUAGUCCUCUCAAAACAUUCUGAUGUAUUUUAUUAUUUCACCUUCCUGAGAAGUCCCUUAAGAGGUCUCGUCUGGCUGGACUGUUUAUUUCCACACUUAGAGCAAACUUUUAUUCUGUGAUUUUGACAUUAUCCUCCUGGGGAUUCACUUCACUCUCUUCUGUGCAGAUGCCCCUGUUUCUUAUGUGAUCAUCUUCUUUCUUGGUUACUGCUUUAUUUUGGUGUAGCAGCCUCUCCAGUAGUCACCUGAGGUAGGAUAGAUGUCAGGAAAAUUUUUAAGGUCUUCUUGUCUAGAGUCUUAAUUUUACUCUCAAGAUGUAAUUAACAGCUUGACUGGGUAUAGCAUUGUAGGUUGUAAAUAAUAUUCCUACAAAAUUUUGAAGACUUUGUUCAUUUCAUUUUUUUUUUUUUUUUGAGACAGAGUCUCACUCUGUCUCCCAAGCUGGAGUGCAGUGGUGCCAUUUUGGCUCACUGCAGCCUCUGCUUCCUGGGUUCAAGUGAUUCUCCUGCCUCAGUCUCCCAAGUAGCUGGGAUUAUAGGCACGUGUCACCACGCCCAGCUAAUUUUUGUAUUUUUAGUAGAGAUAAGAGUUUUACCAUGUUGGCCAGGCUGAUCUUGAACUCCUAACCUCAGGUGAUCUCCAUGCCUUGGCCUCCCAAAGUGCUGAGAUUAUAGGUAUGAGCCGCCGUGCCUAGCCUGUUCUUUUUAUGUUCUUUUUAGUUUUAUUAUUGUCAGCAUUCUGAAGCCAUCUUUACUCUGGAUCUUUCCUUGAGAUCUGCUUUUUCUCCCUGGAAGAUUAUGGCAGCUUCACCUAGAUCCCAGUAUUCUGAUAGGAAUCAUGAUGUAAGUCUGUUCACAUCCAGUAUGGUACAGUGAUUUAGAGCACUGAGUGUUGGGCAUGGGCCAGCUGGGGUCGAAUGCCAGUUUCAUCACUUACUGUGUUGCCUUGGACAGUUUAUUUUAUUUUUCUCAGCUUUAAUUUCUAUAUCUGUAAAAGGUGGAUAAUGAUGGUUUUGACAAGGAAAUGAGUUAAAUAUAUUAAAGCAGUUAGAACAGUGCCUGGCACAGAGGAAGCCCGAACACCAUUUAUGUUAGCUACUCUUGCCAUUAUCCAUUAUACUUGACAUGCUUCGAACCCUUGCAAUCUAGAAACUCAGGUCCCUCACUUCUAGGAAAUUAUCUCAAAAAUAAACUUAUAUAUAUUUCUGUCUUUUCCUUUUCCCAACACUUUCUAGAAGUACUAUUAUUCAUGUACUGUACUGGUUUUCUAAUUUUUUAUCUUUUAUCUCUUGCUUUUGUUUUUAAUCUCUUUGCCUUUUGCCGCAAUUUGUGGGAGAUCCUCUCAGUUUUCCAACCACCAUAAGUUUUUCUUUUCUACUAUUUCCUUUUCUUUUUCUUGUUUUCUUUUUUUUGAGAUGGAGUCUCACUCUGUAGCCCAGGCUGCAGUGCAGUGGCAUGAUCUUGGCUCACUGCAACCUCUGCCUCCUGGGUCCCAGUUCAAGCAAUUCUCCUACCUCAGCCUCCCAAGUAGCGGGGAUUACAGGCAUUAGCUACCAGGCCCAGCUAAUUUUAUUUUUUUUUUGUAUUUUUUUGUAGAGACGGGGUUUCACCAUGUUGGCCAGUCUGGUCUUAAACUCCUGACCUUGUGAUCCACCCACCUGGGCCUCCCAAAGUGCUGAGAUUACAGGUGUGAGCCACAUAGACCGGCCUCUUUUCUGCUAUUAUAUUCUUAUUUUUUUCUCUGAAUACUUGCCCUUCUCCUUUGUAAAAGGUAAUCUGUUUUAUUCAUAAUUGCUUGUCUUUUCUUAUCUGUGAAGAUACAAAAUAGAUUUCUUCUCACUGCAUUGUAUGUGUUCCCUCAAAGCUGUUUUUCUGCUUAUUUUUGUCUCCAUCUGUCGUGUGAAAAGCUCUUGUAGUAAUCCAGGUGUGACAAAGUACACGCCUUAAGGAAGUGAAGGUGGAGUAGAUGAUGCAGCUCUGACUCAAGAAUUGUGGAAAAAGUAGAAGUCACAGUGUAGCUUAGGGAAAAGGAUGUGAGUGAAUGAAAGGGAGGAACCUAGGAUGACUUCCAGAUUGUGGGCUUGGGCCAUGGGGUAAAUGCUGUCGUCAGAGAUAAUGGGAAAGGAAGAAUUGUCUUAGGCAUGUAGAAUAUUCAUUUUGUUUUAGGUUGGUAUUUGAAGCUCUCAGGAGACACUCGAGUGGAGAUUUCCAAUGGCAGUGGGCUUUACAGAUGUGCUGUUCAGGAAAGGGAAAGUGGAAAGAUGAAAACUGAAGCCAUGGAUGUCUUUGAGCUCAUCUAGGGAGACUAUGCAGAAUAAAAAAGAGACAGUAAACAGCCUAAAACCUUGGCUGGCAGCAUAGAAGAGGCAGAUCUUUAGAAAAAAAUGAACUGGAUAUCUAAACCCCAGGUGAAUUGUGUGCUGUAAUGUUUUGUUUCUUUCAGAUUGAGUCUUGUUCUGUCGCUCAGGCUGGAGUGAGUGGCGUGACCUCAGCUUGCUGCAACCUCUGCCUCCCAUGUUCAAGCGAUUCUCUUGCCUCAGCCUCCUGAGUAGCUGGGACUGCAGGCAUGCACCACCACAUUAGGCUAAUUUUCCUGUUUUUAGUAGAGAAAGAAUUUCACCACGUUGACCAGGCUUGGCUUGAACUCCUAACCUCAAGUAAUCCAUCUGCCUCCCAAAGUGGUGGGAUUACAGGCAUGAGCCACCACACUUGGUCUGGUGCUGUAAUUUUUUAAAAUGAAGAAUAGUUUGGCAUAUACUUUUAAAAAUCAGUUAUUUACUUAGGUUCUUAAGAAAUUCAGAACACCAAUUUAUGAGGAUACAUUCCUUUUUUUCUGAGACAGGGUCUCAUUUUGUUGCCCAGGCUGGAGUGCAGUGGCUUCAUCUUGGCUCACUGCAACUUCUGCCUCCUGGGUCAAGUGAUCCUCCCACCUCAGAAUCUUGAGUAGCUGGGACCACAGGCAUCCAUCACCACACCUGGCUAAUUUUUUCUUCGGUGUUUUUAGUAGAGAUGCUGUUUUGGCACGUUGCCCAGGCUAAUCUCAAACUCCUGAGCUCCCUGCAUCUCCCAGCUUCAGCCUCCCAAAGUGCUGGGACUAUAGGCAUGAGCUGCCACGCCUGGCCUGUGAGGAUAAAUUCCAUUUGUCAGGGCAAACACAGAUCACAGCUAGCCCUGGAGCUGAGGAAUAGCUUUGAUUUUUGGUAAAAUCUAUGAGUUCACAGCUUUCUGGUCAAUUUUGUGCUGCUCUGUACUCUUGUAUUUCUCUUCUUCUGUGUUGAAGAUCUCACCUCCCUGGUGUCUGGGUUUCCGCAGCUGCUGCUUCUUGGAGUAAGCAUCAGUAAGAUGCUUUGGGAUUUUUACAUUGCUGAUAUGAAUUUUGGUUGAGGUGGCAAUGACAGAUUUCUGGUGCGUUCUUUGUAGAGGAUCUUGAUUGACGACCAGAGGUCCAGUCACAAGUAACAAGCCACUAGCCAGGUGCUUUAGGAAAACCACUCUUUUGCCUCUGUGGCGCCCAUUGAGGAUGACCAGAAUGGUCCCGGGAGUGAUGCUGGUUUGCAGUUUUCUUGUGUGCUGACUGAAGGGUUUUUUUCUGUGGCUCAACAGCUUUUGAGGCACAUCUUCAGUAGGAUAACAUCUAGGCAUUUUGCAAUGUUUAACUACCCAGGAACCAUCGUUCUUGUCACCACCAAAUGGUUUUGUAACAGUUGCAAGAAGCUUCUCCUUUUUCAUUUCAACCUUGGAUAUAGCAGCUGAAUAUCUUUCCUUGUACAUGGCAGAUUGGAAAUAUCUGCCAAUUCCUUUGACAAGGACAAGAUUUCAGCUGCAACGGGGCUUCUCCUGCACUUUUUAGCCUUGAAGUUACCCCUUUUCACCUUGCCACCAGCAUCAGCCUUCUUGUCUUCGGGUUUCUUCUCUUUAGGAUCUGGCUUCUCAGCUUUUUCACCCUCCAUCUUGCAAGAUGGGAAAGGGAACUCGGCAUAGAAAUUGAACAGUGAAUGAUUAGAAUAUGGAAUCUUUUUAUUUUCAGUUGACAAAGCAUAUCAAAACUUUAUCCGUGAGAACAUUUUAUCUAAUAACAAAGAAAAAACAGAGGAAAGAAAAAAAUUAGCAAGAGUUUAUUAUAUACUUGAAACUCUUCUAGGUGCUCUAUUUCUAUCCUUUAGUCCUUAUCAUAGCUCUGCAAGGGAGAAAGGGGCAAGAAAGAGCAGAGUUCUAAUAUUAGGAGGAGAAGAAGGUCUGGGGAUGGGGCUGGGCCAGGCUCUUGAUGAGGCAGUACUUACUGUCAACGCCACCAGCAGUUGACAGAGCAGCAAGAAUGGAGGGAAAAGGCUCUCCUUUGCUCACUGUAUGUAUCUCAGGAUCUUGUUUCCACUAGCUAGGACAGAAGUUUCUCUAACCUCUUUUCAUCGUUUUGUUUUAUUUUAUUUUAUUUAGAAACACGGUCUUGGCUAGGUGCAGUAGCUCAUUUUUCUAAUCCCAGCACUUUGGGAGUCCAAGGUGGUGGGAUCUCAAGGUCAGGAGAUUGAGACCAUCCUGGCCAACAUGGUGAAACCCUGUCUCUAUUAAAAUACAAAAAAAAUUAGCUGGGUGUGGUGGCGCAUACCUGUAGUCCCAGCUACUCUGGAGGCUGAGGCAGGAGAAUUGCUUGAACCCGGGCGGCAGAGGUUGCAGUGAGCCAAGAUCGUGCCACUGCACUCCAGCUCUGGCAACAGAGCAAGACUCCAUCUCAAAACAAAACAAAAAAAGAAACACAGUCUUGCUCUGUUGCUCCGGGCUGGAGUGCAGUGGCAUCAUCAUAGCUCACUGCAGCUUCAGGCUUGUGGCCUCAAAUGAUCCUCCUGCUUUGGCCUCCCAAAGUGCUGAGAUUACAGGCAGGAGCCACUGUACAUAAUAACCUCUUUUCAUUGUAGUACUAAGAGCAGUCAUCUUCUUUCCUAUUCCAGUAAAUGGCACCAUUUUUAUUCCAUUGCUUAGGCCAGAAACCCAGGGGGUCAUCUGUGAUUCUUCCGGGUCCUUCACCUCCUCUUUGGUCCAAUCUCUUGGCACAUAUCAUGGGCUCUACCUCCUGAAUGUAUCUCACGUGUAUCAAUUUCUCUCUUACAUCUAUCACCCUCACCCUAGUCUCCAUCAUCUCUUGUUUGGAAUAUGGAGAGGGCCUCUUAUCUGACCUCCUUGCUUCUGUUCUUGACGUUCCUAUUGUCUAUCCUCAACAACCAUGGUGAUAUUUUAAAAAUGGCAAUCAUGUUACUGUCAAGAAGAUCCUGUCACUCCCCUAAGUAAUGCCGUUUCCCAUGGCCUAUCAGGCCCUGUGCUUUCUGACACUUGCCUUGCUCUCUGACCUCAUUCCUCCCACUCAUCACCCAGCCCCACUCGGCUCUAGCACUGAGGCCUGCUUGCUGUCUAGAUACAUUAGACUUGUUCCUGCCUUAGAGUCUUUGUACUUGCUUAUUUUCUCCAACAUUCUUAGCCCUCACAAUUUUGCAGGGCUGCCUCCUGAUUAUUGAGGACUUGGCUCAAAUAACGUCUGCUGAGGGAGGCCUCCUGGGACCUCCCCACCCCCCCCCAGGGAAAUCGGCCUUUCCUUUACUCAGUCACUUGCAGUGACAGCACCUUAUUUUAGUUCCUUUAAAGCACUCAUAUCACUUUUGGCAAUCAUUUAUUUGCUUGAUUUUUUAUUUGCCUGUAUUUCUCUUUGUUUCUAGUGUCUACAAUAAUACCUACCCAGAGUAGUCACUCUAUUACUAUCAGUAUUUGUUGGAUAAAUGAUUGUAUUACUUUAAAAAUUUGUUGAAGCCAGGUGUGGUGGCACGGCCAGUAGUCCCAGCUACUCAAGAAAGAGGCUGAAGUGGAAGGAUCACUUGAGCCCAGGUGUUCAAGGCUGCAGUGAGCUAUAAUCACGUCUUUUUCACUCCAGCUUGGGCAACAGAGUGACACCCUGUCUCUAAUCACUUUUUUAAAAGUAUUGUUGAAAAGGUGCCACUUUUUUUUUUUUUUUUUUUUUUUUGAGACAGGGUCUCACUCCAAUGUCCAGGCUGGAGUGCAGUGGUGCAAUCAUGGCUCACUACAGCCUCAACUUCCUGUACUCAGGUGAUUCUCCCAGCUCAGCCUCCUGAGUAACCGAGACUACAGUUAUGCACCUCCUUGCCUGGCUAAUUUUUUGUAUCUUUAGUAGAGAUAGUGUUUCGACAUGUUGCUCAGGAUGGUCUUGAACUCCUGACUCAAGCUAUUCGCCCAAAGUGCUGGGAUUACAGGUGUGAGCCACCACAAACGACCAAAAGGGACCACUUUUGAAGAACGCUUAAGGGGUUUGAUAUUCUUUGACCCACAUAUUUUUCAGCUUUAUUGAGGUAUAAUUGGCUGUGACAUAAACUGCACCUGUUUAAGGUACACGGUUUGAUGAGUUUUGACAUGUGUCUGCAUCUUUGGGGCACCCUCACAGUCAAGCUAAUAAUGAACAUGCCAUUGGCCUAAAAGUUUUCUUGAGCCUCUUGUAAUUCAUCCCGUCUCAUUGUUCUUCUUCCACCACCAGACUCUGGGCAACCACUGAUAUGUCUGCUUUCUGGCACUAUAAAUUGGUUUGUAUUUUGAUAAUUUUAUAUCAAUAGCAUCAUUCAGUUACUAUAUUUUGGUUUCUUAUGUUCAGCAUAGUUAUUUUAAGAUUCGUCUGUGUUAUUGCAUGAAUGUUCCUUUUUAUUGCUAAGUAGGAUUCUAUUGUCUGGAUGUAUCACACUUUGUUUAUCCAUGAACUUUUUGAUAAACAUUUGGGUUGUUUCCAGUUCUUAGUGCUUACAAAUAAAGCUGCCGUGAAUGUGAGCAUUA